rnacentral:lncRNA from 7 species
AAAAGAUUAAAGUUCAUUUUUGCUGGAGCGGCAAGUAAAUGAGUGCUAUGCCUAACAGGUUAGAGUCUCAAUUUCCCAUGAUCCCAACUUUUUAAAUUUUUAUUUGUGUGUGUGUCUCAGGACAGCCUCUAGUGACAAUUUUUAGUGGCCCUCUCCGUGGUGCAAGCUGCCGGCCCGCCUCUGGAAGCAUUAUGUCAGACAUCCUUAUCACAUACACGCUCCUUAACCCUCAUCACAAAUGCCUAAAAUCUGUGUAUGAGGAUUGGUGUACAUAAUCAUGUAACCAUUGGGAAUUAUAUCCAAUUGCCCUAAAAAGCCAUGUUCCCGAGAUGAAGGGAUUGAGAGACGGGAACGUUGGUAGCAGAUUCCUAAUUUUUUUAGACAUGGAACGAAGGGAUAUACCUUCUUAGUGCUUGUUCGGUUAGCUCUCAAUCCAUAUGGAUUGAGUGGGAUUGGGUGGGUUUAAAUCCCAAGCACGUCAAAGUUCUUCUAAAUUUUUCCAAUCCCAUCCAAUCCAUGUAUUAUAGGAUUAAUCAAACAAGGCCUUAUAUGUAUUCGAUAACUAGAGCGUGAACCAUAAAAUUUUGGAAAAGUAAUAUGGUUUAUUCGAUAACUGGAGCGUGAACCAAAAAUUUUUGGAACAGUAAUAUGGAACGAGGUUUCAGAAACAACCAACUAGUAGAUAUUUCUGUACGAAAAAAAUGUUUGAUAAAGCAAUAUGAUUAACGAUUUGUCAU